GGGCAAACCGAAGAGUUUACUCUUCGGGGUUGUAGGACUGCAAUGUGGACUCAAAGAUUAUAGAAGAAUGAUUUGGGAAGAUCAGCCAAAGAGAGUAAUAGCCUCGUAUUUAAAAUAGUCUUUGUACCUAGCAGUAUCCUGAGUACGGCGGGACACGUGAAAUCCCGUCGGAAUCUGGGAGGACCAUCUCCCAACCCUAAAUACUCCCUAGUGACCGAUAGUGAACCAGUACCGUGAGGGAAAGGUGAAAAGCACCCCGGGAGGGGAGUGAAAUAGAACCUGAAACCGUGUGCCUACAACAAGUUCGAGCCCGUUAAUGGGUGAGAGCGUGCCUUUUGUAGAAUGAACCGGCGAGUUACGUUAUGAUGCGAGGUUAAGUUGAAGAGACGGAGCCGUAGGGAAACCGAGUCUGAAUAGGGCGCCUUAGUAUCAUGACGUAGACCCGAAACCAUGUGACCUACCCAUGAGCAGGUUGAAGGUGCGGUAAGACGCACUGGAGGACCGAACCAGGGCACGUUGAAAAGUGCUUGGAUGACUUGUGGGUAGCGGAGAAAUUCCAAACGAACUUGGAGAUAGCUGGUUCUCUCCGAAAUAGCUUUAGGGCUAGCGUCGACAUUAGAGAUUCUUGGAGGUAGAGCACUGUUUGGGUGAGGGGUCCAUCCCGGAUUACCAAUCUCAGAUAAACUCCGAAUGCCAAUGAAUUAUGGUCGGCAGUCAGACUGCGAGUGCUAAGAUCCGUAGUCGAAAGGGAAACAGCCCAGACCACCAGCUAAGGUCCCAAAAUAAUUGUUAAGUGGAAAAGGAUGUGGGGUUGCACAGACAACUAGGAUGUUAGCUUAGAAGCAGCUAUUCAUUCAAAGAGUGCGUAAUAGCUCACUAGUCGAGUGACCCUGCGCCGAAAAUGUACCGGGGCUAAAACAAUUUACCGAAGCUGUGGAUACCUUUAUAGGUAUGGUAGGAGAGCGUUCUAUGUGUGAUGAAGGUAUACCGUGAGGAGUGCUGGAACGCAUAGAAGUGAGAAUGCCGGUAUGAGUAGCGAAAGACAGGUGAGAAUCCUGUCCACCGUAAGACUAAGGUUUCCAGGGGAAGGCUCGUCCGCCCUGGGUUAGUCGGGACCUAAGGAGAGACCGAAAGGUGUAUCCGAUGGACAACAGGUUGAUAUUCCUGUACUAGAGUAUGUAGUGAUGGAGGGACGCAGUAGGCUAACUAAAGCAGACGAUUGGAAGAGUCUGUCUAAGCAGUGAGGUGUGAAUUGAGUCAAAUGCUUAAUUCUAUAACAUUGAGCUGUGAUGGGGAGCGAAGUUUAGUAGCGAAGUUAGUGACGUCACACUGCCAAGAAAAGCUUCUAGCGUUUAAACAUACUCUACCCGUACCGCAAACCGACACAGGUAGUCGAGGCGAGUAGCCUCAGGUGAGCGAGAGAACUCUCGUUAAGGAACUCGGCAAAAUGACCCCGUAACUUCGGGAGAAGGGGUGCUGACUUAAAGUCAGCCGCAGUGAAUAGGCCCAAGCAACUGUUUAUCAAAAACACAGCUCUCUGCUAAAUCGUAAGAUGAUGUAUAGGGGGUGACGCCUGCCCGGUGCUGGAAGGUUAAGAGGAGUGCUUAGCGUAAGCGAAGGUAUGAAUUGAAGCCCCAGUAAACGGCGGCCGUAACUAUAACGGUCCUAAGGUAGCGAAAUUCCUUGUCGGGUAAGUUCCGACCCGCACGAAAGGCGUAAUGAUUUGGGCACUGUCUCAACGAGAGACUCGGUGAAAUUUUAGUACCUGUGAAGAUGCAGGUUACCCGCGACAGGACGGAAAGACCCCAUGGAGCUUUACUGCAGUUUGAUAUUGAGUGUCUGUACCACAUGUACAGGAUAGGUAGGAGUCUAAGAAAUCGGGACGCCAGUUUCGAAGGAGACGCUGUUGGGAUACUACCCUUGUGUUAUGGCCACUCUAACCCAGAUAGGUGAUCCCUAUCGGAGACAGUGUCUGACGGGCAGUUUGACUGGGGCGGUCGCCUCCUAAAAGGUAACGGAGGCGCCCAAAGGUUCCCUCAGAAUGGUUGGAAAUCAUUCGCAGAGUGUAAAGGUAUAAGGGAGCUUGACUGCGAGAGCUACAACUCGAGCAGGGACGAAAGUCGGGCUUAGUGAUCCGGUGGUUCCGUAUGGAAGGGCCAUCGCUCAACGGAUAAAAGCUACCCUGGGGAUAACAGGCUUAUCUCCCCCAAGAGUUCACAUCGACGGGGAGGUUUGGCACCUCGAUGUCGGCUCGUCGCAUCCUGGGGCUGUAGUCGGUCCCAAGGGUUGGGCUGUUCGCCCAUUAAAGCGGCACGCGAGCUGGGUUCAGAACGUCGUGAGACAGUUCGGUCCCUAUCCGUCGCGGGCGUAGGAAAUUUGAGAGGAUCUGCUCCUAGUACGAGAGGACCAGAGUGGACUUACCGCUGGUGUACCAGUUGUCUUGCCAAAGGCAUCGCUGGGUAGCUAUGUAGGGAAGGGAUAAACGCUGAAAGCAUCUAAGUGUGAAACCCACCUCAAGAUGAGAUUUCCCAUGAUUAUAUAUCAGUAAGAGCCCUGAGAGAUGAUCAGGUAGAUAGGUUAGAAGUGGAAGUGUGGCGACACAUGUAGCGGACUAAUACUAAUAGCUCGAGGACUUAUCCAA
rnacentral:rRNA from 1 species